UGGGGAAUAUUGGACAAUGGGCGCAAGCCUGAUCCAGCCAUGCCGCGUGAGUGAUGAAGGCCUUAGGGUUGUAAAGCUCUUUCGCCGGUGAAGAUAAUGACGGUAACCGGAGAGGAAGCCCCGGCUAACUUCGUGCCAGCAGCCGCGGUAAUACGAAGGGGGCCUAGCGUUGCUCGGAAUCACUGGGCGUAAAGCGCACGUAGGCGGAUCGUUAAGUCAGGGGUGAAAUCCUGGGGCUCAACCUCAGAACUGCCCUUGAUACUGGCGAUCUCGAGUUCGAGAGAGGUUGGUGGAACUCCGAGUGUAGAGGUGAAAUUCGUAGAUAUUCGGAAGAACACCAGUGGCGAAGGCGGCCAGCUGGCUCGAUACUGACGCUGAGGUGGCGAAAGCGUGGGGAGCAAACAGGAUUAGAUACCCUGGUAGUCCACGCCGUAAAACGAUGGAUGCUAGCCGUUGGGGAGCUUGCUCUUCAGUGGCGCAGCUAACGCCUUAAGCAUCCCGCCUGGGGNGUACGGUCGCAAGAUUAAAACUUAAAGGAAUUGACGGGGUCAUAGCUGUUUCCUG
rnacentral:rRNA from 1 species